rnacentral:rRNA from 1 species
AGUGAACGCUGGCGGUAGGCCUAACACAUGCAAGUCGAACGGCAGCACAGGAGAGCUUGCUCUCUGGGUGGCGAGUGGCGGACGGGUGAGGAAUACAUCGGAAUCUACUUUUUCGUGGGGGAUAACGUAGGGAAACUUACGCUAAUACCGCAUACGACCUACGGGUGAAAGCAGGGGAUCUUCGGACCUUGCGCGAUUGAAUGAGCCGAUGUCGGAUUAGCUAGUUGGCGGGGUAAAGGCCCACCAAGGCGGCGAUCCGUAGCUGGUCUGAGCGGAUGAUCAGCCACACUGGAACUGAGAGACGGUCCAGACUCCUACGGGAGGCAGCAGUGGGGAAUAUUGGACAAUGGGCGCAAGCCUGAUCCAGCCAUACCGCGUGGGUGAAGAAGGCCUUCGGGUUGUAAAGCCCUUUUGUUGGGAAAGAAAUCCAGCUGGUUAAUACCCGGUUGGGAUGACGGUACCCAAAGAAUAAGCACCGGCUACUUCGUGCCAGCCGCCGCGGUAA